rnacentral:rRNA from 1 species
UUGAACGCUGGCGGCAUGCCUUACACAUGCAAGGUCGAACGGCAGCACGGGAGCAAUCCUGGUGGCGAGUGGCGAACGGGUGAGUAAAGUAUCGGAACGUGCCCAGUCGUGGGGGAUAACGUAGCGAAAGUUACGCUAAUACCGCAUACGAUCUAUGGAUGAAAGCGGGGGAUCGCAAGACCUCGCGCGAUUGGAGCGGCCGAUAUCAGAUUAGGUAGUUGGUGGGGUAAAGGCCCACCAAGCCGACGAUCUGUAGCUGGUCUGAGAGGACGACCAGCCACACUGGGACUGAGACACGGCCCAGACUCCUACGGGAGGCAGCAGUGGGGAAUUUUGGACAAUGGGCGCAAGCCUGAACCAGCCAUGCCGCGUGCAGGAAGAAGCAUCUAUGGUGUGUAAACUGCUUUUAUACAUGAAGAAACAACUCUACGUGUAGAGUCUUGACGGUACUGUAAGAAUAAGGACCGGCUAACUCCGUG